UAGCCGUAAACGAUACUCGCUAGGUGUCGGCCACGGUGCGACCGUUGUCGGUGCCGUAGGGAAGCCGUGAAGCGAGCCACCUGGGAAGUACGGCCGCAAGGCUGAAACUUAAAGGAAUUGGCGGGGAGCACAACAACGGGUGGAGCUUGCGGUUUAAUUGGAUUCAACGCCGGAAAUCUUACCGGGACCGACAGCAACAUGAAGGCCAGGCUGAAGACUUUGCCGGAUUAGCUGAGAGGAGGUGCAUGGCGUAGUCGUGU
rnacentral:rRNA from 1 species